UCCCUACUAGCUCAGGUGGUAAAGGUUCUGCCUGCAGUGCAGGAGACCUGGGUUCGACCCCUGGGUUGGGAA
rnacentral:tRNA from 1 species